ACAGUAUUUUAACUCGACGUUCAUCUUGAAUCGCGCUGAAAAUUCUUAAUUAAGAAAUUUCUAAAAGUCAGGAAAUAUUCGCAAACCUAUGUAAGACAAAUAUAGGUUCGAACACGAGAAACGUGCAAAUAGGAAAAAAUUAUCUCCGAAUCACGUCAACUCGCACAAACUUCGUCGCAGCAAGUGAUUUUAGUUUUAGUUUCUAAGCUAAAACUCAUAUUCCUAAACAAUCAGGUAAAUGCAAAGAGAAUGCGAAGCAAAAACGUCUACAAACCUGGUCGCAGGAAGUUCUAAAGCGAAAUGGAUUCGCGCCUCGUUUCAGCUCGCAUAUCCUCAAAAAGUUUCAGUUCUGCUGCUCGUUAUCUCGGCCACAGAACCUGUCACUUUCCGGUAACCUUUCCAGAGGCAGAGCACGCUUACGUAACACGAUUCGCAAAAAUAACGAGGCACAGAAGCGGCUCGCAGGACGCGCGAAAAUCCAUCGUUGCGUGGAGGCGGAAAGGAGGCGGACGAAGAAGAAGAGGAGGACAGGAAGGGGAACGUUAAAAGCUUGUCAAACGGCCGUCAAAAAUACAUUUUGACGCGCGGACGGCCCCGCGUCGUGUGUCUGGCGUGUCCUCUAAAACGAAACGCGUCCUCCAGCGGAGGUUUGUUUUCGAGCGUCGAAUUCUUCGGCCACCGGCUCGUUUCCAGUUGCUCAACCUCCUCUCCACAACGCACGAGGAUCCUCCCUCUACCUCCAACGUUUCUGCCUCUCGUUUUGUGAGAGUGCCAGUUCGAUGCACGAGAGUAUGAAAGACCAUAAGAUGGAACAGAGAGGGAAAUAACGCCGCGUUUCGUAAGAAUUUUAUCGUUCCGUAUUCGGAGCCUAAUGCCCUUGCAACUCCUCCUUCGCAACCUUCUACGGUUUCUUCGCCGCUCCACCAUCUUCCAAGUGGUCCUCGCGGGCCUUCUCGGCCUGGCAUCCGCCGACCAAAAAGUCCACUUCCUCGGACCGGAUCUGGUCUCCUACGGAUUCGUCGGUCUGUGGCCAAACCAGCCGAGCAACGUAUAUACCCACUGACCUAUAUGCUGCCGCGGGAAAACGAGUCAGGGAUACACGAGCCACUCAGAAGUCACGUCGAACAGCUUGAAACAUCGAAAGAGUACAAUUGAAACGGUAGGAUCUCGGUGGAAGAUCGUUUCGCCCGUCGACUGUUACAGAAAACAUUGUACGGAUAUUUUAUACAUCUCUUCGUUUCUUAUCUUCUGAUUUCCUAUAAACGCGUAAAAACUUUGAAUUUCCCGCGAUCUAUCUCGUCUGCUUGCUACGGACGAACUUACGAACGAAGGUGAGCGAUUUUAAUUUUUAAGAAUCCAACUAUCCAUUGUGUUUCUUUUAACGAGAAGAUAAAAGCCAGAAAUGCAGGAAACAAAGGACGACGGUUUCACGAAUGACAAACGAGUGUGUGGGUCUAAUUUCCUCUUGUCAUUUUCCCUCGCGUAUUUAUUCACACCGAUUAAACGGGAAGAUGAUAGAGAGGAUGUGGAGGAAUCCAGCGAAUCGAGGCCACGAAGCGGAAGGAGGAAGAACGCUUAGAUUUUGAAAUUGAGCUCUACGAAAAUAGUCGGCCGAGUGGAAUCGCGAAACAAAGCGAUACAUUCUGCGCGUUACGCCCGAAUUUCCAUUAAUUAACUACUUCUACCUACGUAUGUAUCUCUUUUUCCAUUUUUACAUUCCAAUCAGAGUUAAAUAAAUGUAAAAACAAUCUUCGCCGAA